AUUGAACGCUGGCGGCAGGCCUAACACAUGCAAGUCGAGCGGAUGAAGGGAGCUUGCUCCUGGAUUCAGCGGCGGACGGGUGAGUAAUGCCUAGGAAUCUGCCUGGUAGUGGGGGAUAACGUCCGGAAACGGGCGCUAAUACCGCAUACGUCCUGAGGGAGAAAGUGGGGGAUCUUCGGACCUCACGCUAUCAGAUGAGCCUAGGUCGGAUCAGCUAGUUGGUGGGGUAAAGGCCUACCAAGGCGACGAUCCGUAACUGGUCUGAGAGGAUGAUCAGGAACAUUGGAACUUAGACACGGUCCAAACUCUUACGGAAGGCACCAGUGGGGAAUAUUGGACAGUGGGCGAAAGCCUGAUCCAGCCAUGCCGCGUGUGUGAACAAGGUCUUCGGAUUGUAAAGCACUUUAAGUGGGGAGGAAGGGCAGUAAGUUAAUACCUUGCUGUAUUGACGUUACCAACAGAAUAAGCACCGGCUAACUUCGUG
rnacentral:rRNA from 1 species